rnacentral:rRNA from 1 species
CUGGCUCAGGACGAACGCUGGCGGCGUGCCUAACACAUGCAAGUCGAGCGAGGAGAUCCUUCGGGAUGAUCCUAGCGGCGGACGGGUGAGUAACACGUGGGCAACCUGCCUCAUAGAGAGGAAUAGCCUUCCGAAAGGGAGAUUAAUACCUCAUAACAUUGCAGUUUCGCAUGGAACAGCAAUUAAAGGAGUAAUCCGCUAUGAGAUGGGCCCGCGGCGCAUUAGCUAGUUGGUGAGGUAACGGCUCACCAAGGCGACGAUGCGUAGCCGACCUGAGAGGGUGAUCGGCCACAUUGGGACUGAGACACGGCCCAGACUCCUACGGGAGGCAGCAGUGGGGAAUAUUGCACAAUGGGGGAAACCCUGAUGCAAGCAACGCCGCGUGAGUGAUGACGGCCUUCGGGUUGUAAAGCUCUGUCUUCAGGGACGAUAAUGACGGUACCUGAGGAGGAAGCCACGGCUAACUACGUGCCAGCAGCCGC